rnacentral:rRNA from 1 species
AUAACAGUUAGAAAUGACUGCUAAUACCGCAUAAGCGCACGGUACCGCAUGGUACAGUGUGAAAAACUCCGGUGGUGUGAGAUGGAUCCGCGUCUGAUUAGGUAGUUGGUGAGGUAACGGCCCACCAAGCCGACGAUCAGUAGCCGACCUGAGAGGGUGACCGGCCACAUUGGGACUGAGACACGGCCCAAACUCCUACGGGAGGCAGCAGUGGGGAAUAUUGCACAAUGGGCGAAAGCCUGAUGCAGCAACGCCGCGUGAGUGAAGAAGUAUCUCGGUAUGUAAAGCUCUAUCAGCAGGGAAGAAAAUGACGGUACCUGACUAAGAAGCCCCGGCUAACUACGUGCCAGCAGCCGCGGUAAUACGUAGGGGGCAAGCGUUAUCCGGAUUUACUGGGUGUAAAGGGAGCGCAGACGGCACUGCAAGUCUGAAGUGAAAGCCCGGGGCUCAACCCCGGGACUGCUUUGGAAACUGUAGAGCUAGAGUGCUGGAGAGGCAAGCGGAAUUCCUAGUGUAGCGGUGAAAUGCGUAGAUAUUAGGAAGAACACCAGUGGCGAAGGCGGCUUGCUGGACAGUAACUGACGUUCAGGCUCGAAAGCGUGGGGAGCAAACAGGAUUAGAUACCCUGGUAGUCCACGCCGU